rnacentral:rRNA from 1 species
UGAGACCGGCGCACGGGUGCGUAACGCGUAUGCAAUCUACCUUGUACAGGGGGAUAGCCCAGAGAAAUUUGGAUUAAUACCCCAUAGUAUUAUUAAAUGGCAUCAUUUAAUUAUUAAAGUUCCAACGGUACAAGAUGAGCAUGCGUCCCAUUAGCUAGUUGGUGUGGUAACGGCACACCAAGGCAACGAUGGGUAGGGGUCCUGAGAGGGAGAUCCCCCACACUGGUACUGAGACACGGACCAGACUCCUACGGGAGGCAGCAGUGAGGAAUAUUGGUCAAUGGACGCAAGUCUGAACCAGCCAUGCCGCGUGCAGGAUGACGGUCCUAUGGAUUGUAAACUGCUUUUGUACAGGAAGAAACACUCCCUUGCGAGGGAGCUUGACGGUACUGUAAGAAUAAGGAUCGGCUAACUCCGUGCCAGCAGCCGCGGUAAUACGGAGGAUCCAAGCGUUAUCCGGAAUCAUUGGGUUUAAAGGGUCCGUAGGCGGUUUUAUAAGUCAGUGGUGAAAUCUGGUCGCUCAACGAUCAAACGGCCAUUGAUACUGUAAGACUUGAAUUACUUGGAAGUAACUAGAAUAUGUAGUGUAGCGGUGAAAUGCUUAGAGAUUACAUGGAAUACCAAUUGCGAAGGCAGGUUACUACGAGUACAUUGACGCUGAUGGACGAAAGCGUGGGGAGCGAACAGGAUUAGAUACCCUGGUAGUCCACGCCGUAAACGAUGGAUACUAGCUGUUUGGAGCAAUCUGAGUGGCUA